UUUGUCUCUUGCUCUCUUGACUAAGAUCAAGUGUAGUAUCUGUUCUUACCAAAUUAAUAUCUGAUACGUCCUCAUUUGAGAGGAAAAUUUCUAUUGGUAAGGUGCUGGAAUGGGCUGCCCAGGGAGGUGAUUGAGUCAUCGUCCUUGGAGGUAUC
ensembl:snRNA U2 U2 spliceosomal RNA